UUAAAUUGUAGAUUGUUGCUAGAGUAGUAAUAGAUAUGAUCUUGAAACUUAAAAAAUUUGGCGGUAUUUUAGUCUAUUCAGAGGAACCUGUUCUGUAAUCGAUAAUCCACGAUGGACCUCACUUAAACUUGUAUAUCAGUAUAUAUACCGUCGUAUAUUGAUGAUUUUAUAAGAAAAAUAAUCUUCAACUUUUUUWAUAGAARUUAAUAUCAGAUCAAGGUGUAGCUUAUGUUUAAGAAGAAAUGGGUUACAAUAAAAUUAUUUUUGGAUUUUUCUUUGAAAAAAGAUUAUGAAAAUGGAUUUGAUAGUAAAUUUUUAAAGAUAAAAAAGUUGAUUUUAGCUCUAAAAUAUGCAC
rnacentral:rRNA from 1 species